GUCGAUAUAGUUUAAACAAAACACUAGAUUGUGGUUCUAGAGAUAGAAGUUAAAUUCUUCUUAUUGACC
rnacentral:tRNA from 1 species